GAGAGUAAGCUAAUCUCUUAAAGCCGUUCUCAGUUCGGACUGUAGGCUGCAACUCGCCUACACGAAGUCGGAAUCGCUAGUAAUCGCGGAUCAGCAUGCCGCGGUGAAUACGUUCCCGGGCCUUGUACACACCGCCCGUCAAGCCAUGAAAGCCGGGGGUACCUGAAGUACGUAACCGCAAGGAUCGUCCUAGGGUAAAACUGGUAAUUGGGGCUAAGUCGUAACAAGGUAAC
rnacentral:rRNA from 1 species